ensembl:lncRNA
GCUCUCUCCUCCCUUGUACGUAGCAGACAUUUUAGUCCACUCGAGGAGCCCUCAAAGCAUAGCUUCUUAUUCAAAUGAGGAAGGAUCCCUUCCAGAGGAACCAAGAACUUGGCAAGAGCACAGCCAGAUGACUCAUCUUGCCCUGAUAGCUGGGGCCUCAUCCGGAAUAACACACAUGUCAAGGACUGGAGCAGCUGAGGGCUGGCAGGAUGGCUGGGAGUGCCACAGGCCGAGGUGGGAAGCUCUAGCACAGAAGCAAGUUUCGGGGAGAACGGCUGUGAGUUUGCUGCCUGCUGUCUCCCGCAGAUGAUCCCCGACGAUCCACUCGCAACACCAAGAAUAUCUCAGGUCACAGAGGCUCUCCUUUAUUGAAGCAUGAUUUACUGCAGGAGAA